AAUUACUGGGCGUAAAGCGCACGCAGGCGGUCUGUCAAGUCGGAUGUGAAAUCCCCGGGCUCAACCUGGGAACUGCAUUCGAAACUGGCAGGCUUGAGUCUUGUAGAGGGGGGUAGAAUUCCAGGUGUAGCGGUGAAAUGCGUAGAGAUCUGGAGGAAUACCGGUGGCGAAGGCGGCCCCCUGGACAAAGACUGACGCUCAGGUGCGAAAGCGUGGGGAGCAAACAGGAUUAGAUACCCUGGUAGUCCACGCCGUAAACGAUGUCUACUUGGAGGUUGUGCCCUUGAGGCGUGGCUUCCGGAGCUAACGCGUUAAGUAGACCGCCUGGGGAGUACGGCCGCAAGGUUAAAACUCAAAUGAAUUGACGGGGGCCCGCACAAGCGGUGGAGCAUGUGGUUUAAUUCGAUGCAACGCGAAGAACCUUACCUGGUCUUGACAUCCACAGAAGAAUCCAGAGAUGGAUUUGUGCCUUCGGGAACUGUGAGACAGGUGCUGCAUGGCUGUCGUCAGCUCGUGUUGUGAAAUGUUGGGUUAAGUCCCGCAACGAGCGCAACCCUUAUCCUUUGUUGCCAGCGGUUAGGCCGGGAACUCAAAGGAGACUGCCAGUGAUAAACUGGAGGAAGGUGGGGAUGACGUCAAGUCAUCAUGGCCCUUACGACCAGGGCUACACACGUGCUACAAUGGCGCAUACAAAGAGAAGCGACCUCGCGAGAGCAAGCGGACCUCAUAAAGUGCGUCGUAGUCCGGAUUGGAGUCUGCAACUCGACUCCAUGAAGUCGGAAUCGCUAGUAAUCGUGGAUCAGAAUGCCACGGUGAAUACGUUCCCGGGCCUUGUACACACCGCCCGUCACACCAUGGGAGUGGGUUGCAAAAGAAGUAGGUAGCUUAACCUUCGGGAGGGCGCUUACCACUUUGUGAUUCAUGACUGGGGUGAAGUCGUAACAAGGUAACCGUAGGGGAACCUGCGGUUGGAUCACCUCCUUACCUUAAAGAA
rnacentral:rRNA from 1 species